rnacentral:ncRNA from 1 species
AUCAGUUAUAGUUUAUUUGAUAGUACCUUACUACAUGGAUAACCGUGGUAAUUCUAGAGCUAAUACAUGCUAAAAACCCCGACUUCGGAAGGGGUGGUAUUUAUUAGAUUAAAAACCAAAUGCCCUUCGGGGCGUAACUGGUGAUUCAUAAUAACUUCUCGAAUCGCAUGGCCUUGCGCUGGCGAUGGUUCAUUCAAAUUUCUGCCCUAUCAACUUUCGACGGCUGGGUCUUGGCCAGCCAUGGUGACAACGGGUAACGGAGGGUUAGGGCUCGACCCCGGAGAAGGAGCCUGAGAAACGGCUACUAACAUCCAAGGAAGGCAGCAGGCGCGCAAAUUACCCAAUCCCGACACGGGGAGGUAGUGACAAUAAAUAACUGAUACAGGGCGUCUUUUGGGUCUUGUAAUUGGAAUGAGUACAAUUUAAAUCCCUUAACGAGGAACAAUUGGAGGGCAAGUCUGGUG